rnacentral:lncRNA from 1 species
AAGGCUCUUGGUUUCUUCUGUGCACACUGCCUGCCUUGUAUCCAAGCGUUUGACUGUGCAGAGGCCAGUCAUACUGGGGGACCCUGAGCACUACCCUUGGCAUUUGGGUAUAUCCUGAUCAAUAUAGCCAUUUCCACUGCUUGACAUUAUGUUUUGGGGGCUAGUUUUUUAAAGAUCAAUGAUUGAAUUGCUGCUCGGCUGAUUGGAUAUGUCUUCUCGGAGACUCACCUGUCCUCCCCGAAGAGAUGCUGACUACACAACAGCAGUCACUGUGCUGGGCACACGGGCAGUGUUCAGGAGACGUGGCUUCCUUUCUUCUUCUUUCAUUUCUUCCUGCCCAGAACAGCAAGGCUGAGACUGAUAAUAAAAUUCCUGGAACAUGGAGAAACUCAUGUGGGGAGAAAAGAAGAAAUGUAUUGUGACUUCCAUGGGCUUUUGGCACUUUUGGACCUCCCUCCUCCUCUUUUCCAUAAAAAAUGUAUUUUAAGACAUAUUGGUAUAAAGAUGAGAUUAUUCAUAGUACAUAUUAAAAUGUUUUCCCCUACCUAAAA